UGGUAUUUUUAUCUACAAGAUGGGUAUAUGGAUCUUCCUUCCUCAGAAGCCAUAACGAUGAAUGAAUUAAAUAAGGUAAGAGAAACACCGGGUUUUGCUCAGAGAGAAAAUGCCAGGCAAAGAGAAGAGCAACGUCAGCCAGGAAAACAUGACCAGAAUCGCUCUUUUUAGCAAGAAGAAAAGUGGGAGGUGUGGCCUCCUGGGCCACGUGAGGUUCAGCUUGCCCCCACGUGGCCUUUGGUGCUGAAGCGAGGGGGUCCUUUUUACUGGGGUCUGUGAGCCUCACCCAGGAUCUGGUGGGAUGCCUUUCACCCUUGACAUUUCAAAACCAAUCUCCCAUCCCUGAUAAUGCAGGAAUGUUCCUCCGGCUGAUGGACCUCUGCCAGCGCGAAUGAGCGUCCCAGCCACCAACAGAGUAAACAUUACUCAACUGGCCAGAGCUCUGUCACACGCAUUCUUCCCCUGUGUUUCUAACCUCAUGCAGAGCACAGCCCAACCCUGUUGGGUCUAGAACCUGGGAAUUUAAACCCAGGCAAGCGGGAGCGUGCGACAGAGAAAGCUCCUCCCAAAGGAAACAACUCUGCCCAUCAAUUAUGGGUAGACAGAGCUGUCUUUCCUAUGACGCCAACACAUAUGGCCGGGGAGGGGGCCAGGCAGAAUUAGGCCCGGGAACCUAUCCUCAGAAAUCCAUUCCCCCUCUCCCCACAGAGGAGUCACUUUCUUGAGAAAAGAGGCAGACACGCAAAUGAUUCAGUCUAGUGACCGUCUGAGAGGCUCAUCUGGGAUAAAAGAAUGUGAACUGGGAGGUCCAGAAAUAAAAGCUUUAAAUAAAGGAGAUAGCACGGCUGCCUCAGUUUCCUCACUGGUAACACGGGACUACCACCAGCUCUUAUUCCCUCCCCUCUGGGGAUAAAGAUUAACAUUUGCGAAGAGUUCAGAUUAAAAAUCCGAAAGCCUGAGAGGAAAAAAGCUGAUGCAAGGCGGAAGCAGUUGAAACACUGGGCUGGGUUUUAAUUCCACAUCUCUUUCUACCCGAGGUGGCUGGGUUAGGAGCCCAGUUCCUAAGAGGAGAAACACAGACAGGCCUGCGGGGACGGUAAACAUUCUUGAACUCAAGGAGUAAAAGUUGAGUGAUACUUAAGGAAAGCCCACAAACUGGUUUUCUUAUAAAAAUCAAAGCAAAUGUAACCAACAGGGGAAAAAAAAUCGUCUUCCAUCAAAAGCAUCUUGGCCGAGAACAGAAGUUGACCUGCACAGUGCACCUGAGAAAAUCACACAUGUGGGGAGGGAGGAGGGCCACAGAAACUGGCCAGCAUGCCUGGUCCUUACUGGAGAGCCCGUUUCUGCAGGCAAACAUCAGAUGCUUUGCAACAAGCCCUUCAGCCCAGAGGCCACUGUUACAAGUGAAAGAAACCAGGCCGGCACUCGAGAACUUGAGAAGUCCUCACAUCUGUGAGUGUUUUACGCAGCCUGCUCUCAAUGUGUCACGGAUGCCCAUGCGACAGAAUGGAAAGCUGAGGUUCGAAGAGGAAGAGGUUAUUUUCACUACCUCUUGUGAAGGGGCCCCUAGCGAGUCAGCGGCGUCCUGAAGCCGACCCUUCUUCUUCCUCCCCGUAAGCCCCAAAUUGAUUCCAGGGAUGCAAACCCUAUACUUCACCCAGCAGGAAGAUUCUCAAGAAGGAGGAGAAGGCUUGUUUCUGUUUCCAUUGGUAAAACAUCUUGAGAUAAAUCAAGCAGCUAUUUUGUACCCACCAUGCAAAUUGAUGUGACACAAAUGGGAGAUGUUAUUCAGAGGUUUUCCCCGCUCGCUGAACAAGAACUCCCUGGGCUUCAUCACCAACCCAGUCCAAGAGGUGCUGACCAGGAAGAGGCACCCUGCCUUGGGUAGGGCCAGAAGGCAAUGGGCAUGCAGGCUGCCACUCAAAGGCCCCGAAAGUGUUAACCUUCAGCAGUGAUAGGUGUCUCGUUUACACCCAUUAUAAAUCUGUUUAUUGUGACUGGCCCCACCCAAUCUGCCGCUGCUGUAAAGCUCUAAUGGUCCCUAAUAAAGGUGGAAGGAUUGUAACAG